UACAGAGGGUGCGAGCGUUGUUCGGAAUUACUGGGCGUAAAGGGCGCGUAGGCGGCCUGUUAAGUCGAACGUGAAAUCCCCGGGCUCAACCCGGGAACUGCGUCCGAUACUGGCAGGCUUGAAUCCGGGAGAGGGAUGUGGAAUUCCAGGUGUAGCGGUGAAAUGCGUAGAUAUCUGGAGGAACACCGGUGGCGAAGGCGACAUCCUGGACCGGUAUUGACGCUGAGGCGCGAAAGCCAGGGGAGCAAACGGG
rnacentral:rRNA from 1 species